rnacentral:rRNA from 1 species
UUCCGGUUGAUCCCGCCGGACCCCACUGCUAUCGGGGUGGGACUAAGACAUGCGAGUCGUACGCCUCCCGGCUGCCGGGGGAGGCGUGGCGCACGGCUCCGUAACACGUGGCUAACCUACCCUCGGGACGGGGAUAACCCCGGGAAACUGGGGCUAAUCCCCGAUAGGCGAGGAUGCCUGGAAUGGUUCCUCGCCGAAAGGGCGCCGGCACCGUGCUGUCGGCGUCGCCCGAGGAUGGGGCCGCGGCCGAUCAGGUUGUUGGUGGGGUAACGGCCCACCAAGCCGAUAACCGGUACGGGCCGUGAGAGCGGGAGCCCGGAGAUGGGCACUGAGAUAAGGGCCCAGGCCCUACGGGGCGCAGCAGUCGCGAAACCUCCGCAAUGCGCGAAAGCGCGACGGGGCCACCCCGAGUGCCGCCCGCUGAGGGUGGCUUUUCCCCGGUGUAGGCAGCCGGGGGAAUAAGGGGAGGGCAAGUCUGGUGUCAGCCGCCGCGGUAAUACCAGCUCCCCGAGUGGUGGGGACGAUUAUUGGGCCUAAAGCGUCCGUAGCCGGCCCGGCAAGUCUCCCGUUAAAUCCAGCGAUCUAAUCGCUGGACUGCGGGAGAUACUGUCGGGCUAGGGGGCGGGAGAGGCCGGCGGUAUUCCCGGGGUAGGGGUGGAAUCCUAUAAUCCCGGGAGGACCACCAGUGGCGAAGGCUGCCGGCUGGAACGCGCCCGACGGUGAGGGACGAAAGCCGGGGGAGCGAACCGGAUUAGAUACCCGGGUAGUCCCGGCCGUAAACGAUGCGGGCUAGGUGUUGGCACGGCUACGAGCCGUGCCAGUGCCGCAGGGAAGCCGUUAAGCCCGCCGCCUGGGGAGUACGGCCGCAAGGCUGAAACUUAAAGGAAUUGGCGGGGGAGCACCACAAGGGGUGAAGCCUGCGGUUUAAUUGGAUUCAACGCCGGG